GAUGAACGCUGGCGGCGUGCCUAAUACAUGCAAGUCGAGCGAACAGACGAGGAGCUUGCUCCUCUGACGUUAGCGGCGGACGGGUGAGUAACACGUGGAUAACCUACCUAUAAGACUGGGAUAACUUCGGGAAACCGGAGCUAAUACCGGAUAAUAUAUUGAACCGCAUGGUUCAAUAGUGAAAGACGGUUUUGCUGUCACUUAUAGAUGGAUCCGCGCCGCAUUAGCUAGUUGGUAAGGUAACGGCUUACCAAGGCGACGAUGCGUAGCCGACCUGAGAGGGGGAUCGGCCACACUGGAACUGAGACACGGUCCAGACUCCUACGGGAGGCAGCAGUAGGGAAUCUUCCGCAAGGGGCGAAAGCCUGACGGAGCAACGCCGCGUGAGUGAUGAAGGUCUUCGGAUCGUAAAACUCUGUUAUUAGGGAAGAACAAAUGUGUAAGUAACUAUGCACGUCUUGACGGUACCUAAUCAGAAAGCCACGGCUAACUACGU
rnacentral:rRNA from 1 species